ensembl:lncRNA
AUGUUAGCUUGUGCCACCCCCAUGGGGAAGGGAUGGUUAGUCCCAUCUGACACAAGGGGAAGCAGAUGCUCUAUGUAUUUAGCCAUCCACCCUCCCAUCCAUCUAGCCUUUGUCACUUCAAACACCCCUCCAAAUAUUCCUCCCACCCUCCAAAACAGCCCUCCCUUCCCUGCCUCCAUCCAUCCAUCCUCCUCUUCAUCCCUCCAAACAUUCAACCAGCCCUCAGAAACAUUUAACCAGCCAACCGUCCCUCCAAAGCUUCCUCCUUCCUCCCUCCAGCCAUCAGUCUCUUCUGCCCUCCAUCCUUCCACCCAUCUACCUACCCAUCCUCCAUCCUUCCAUCCUCCUACCCAUCCUCCAUCCUUCCAUCCUCCUACCCAUCCUCCAUCCUUCCACCCAUCUACCUACCCAUCCUCCAUCCUUCCACCCAUCUACCUACCCAUCCUCCAUCCUUCCACCCAUCUACCUACCCAUCCUCCAUCUGUCCACCCAUCUACCUACCCAUCCUCCAUCCUUCCACCCAUCUACCUACCCAUCCUCCAUCCUUCCACCCAUCUACCUACCCAUCCUCCAUCCUUCCAUCCUCCUACCACCCAUCCUCCAUCCUUCCAUCCUCCUACCCAUCCUCCAUCCUUCCACCCAUCUACCUACCCAUCCUCCAUCCUUCCAUCCUCCUACCCAUCCUCCAUCCUUCCACCCAUCUACCUACCCAUCCUCCAUCCUUCCAUCCUCCUACCCAUCCUCCAUCCUUCCACCCAUCUACCUACCCAUCCUCCAUCCUUCCACCCAUCUACCUACCCAUCCUCCAUCCGUCCACCCAUCUACCUACCCAUCCUCCAUCCUUCCACCCUCCUACCCAUCCUCCAUCCUUCCACCCAUCUACCUACCCAUCCUCCAUCCUUCCACCCAUCUACCUACCCAUCCUCCAUCCUUCCAUCCUCCUACCCAUCCUCCAUCCUUCCACCCAUCUACCUACCCAUCCUCCAUCCUUCCAUCCUCCUACCUAUCCUCCAUCCUUCCACCCAUCUACCUACCCAUCCUCCAUCCUUCCAUCCUCCUACCCAUCCUCCAUCCUUCCACCCAUCUACCUACCCAUCCUCCAUCCUUCCAUCCUCCUACCCAUCCUCCAUCCUUCCACCCAUCUACCUACCCAUCCUCCAUCCUUCCAUCCUCCUACCCAUCCUCCAUCCUUCCACCCAUCUACCUACCCAUCCUCCAUCCUUCCACCCAUCUACCUACCCAUCCUCCAUCCUUCCACCCAUCUACCUACCCAUCCUCCAUCCUUCCACCCAUCUACCUACCCAUCCUCCAUCCUUCCAUCCUCCUACCCAUCCUCCAUCCUUCCACCCAUCUACCUACCCAUCCUCCAUCCUUCCAUCCUCCUACCCAUCCUCCAUCCUUCCACCCAUCUACCUACCCAUCCUCCAUCCUUCCAUCCUCCUACCCAUCCUCCAUCCUUCCACCCAUCUACCUACCCAUCCUCCAUCCUUCCACCCAUCUACCUACCCAUCCUCCAUCCUUCCACCCAUCUACCUACCCAUCCUCCAUCCUUCCACCCAUCUACCUACCCAUCCUCCAUCCUUCCAUCCUCCUACCCAUCCUCCAUCCUUCCACCCAUCUACCUACCCAUCCUCCAUCCUUCCACCCAUCUACCUACCCAUCCUCCAUCCUUCCACCCAUCUACCUACCCAUCCUCCAUCCUUCCACCCAUCUACCUACCCAUCCUCCAUCCUUCCACCCAUCUACCUACCCAUCCUCCAUCCUUCCACCCAUCUACCUACCCAUCCUCCAUCCUUCCAUCCAUCUACCACCCAUCCUCCAUCCUUCCACCCAUCUACCUACCCAUCCUCCAUCCUUCCAUCCUCCUACCCAUCCUCCAUCCUUCCACCCAUCUACCUACCCAUCGCCCCGUCCUUCUAUCCAUCUACCUGCUUAUACCUCCAUCCUUCCAAGCUCUCAUCCAACCACCCCUCCUUCCCUUUGCCAAACACCCACACAGACCCAUCCUUCCAGUCACUCGUCCCUCCAUCUCUUCCUGCACCCUCUGCCCACCUCUCCUCCCAAAGACACACAAAAUACACAAUGGGAAAGAAGAUCCAGCAUUGA